rnacentral:hammerhead_ribozyme from 1 species
UGCUUGUUGACGAGUCCUGAAUAGGACGAAACGCGCGUCCUGGAU